rnacentral:lncRNA from 1 species
CUUAUAUUCCUGAUGGCCACAUUCCUGCCGAAUCAUUUGGCUGGAAAACAUCUGAUACAUGGUUGGGAGGACGUCCCUUACAACAAGGAAACAGGAAAGGAAGAGGAAAGACCUGCAGAGGCUGAUGCAAUACUCCAAGCUGUCAACCAUGGCCAUGAUGAGCUCAUUCUUAGCCAGGUCAGUACAUCUUUGCCUGUGGACAAUGGCCCUGUCCAUUUACCUCAUAGCUAUAAUUCUGAAAUACUACAUCCUAACUCCCGUAUCCUCAAUCAAUUCCUCUCAUAUGUAUAUCCAAUUCAAAAUCCACUUGUUGCGCUCAAUCCUCCAUGACUCCAGCAGUCUACCCCACAUCCUUCGGCUCAGUUCAGUCUCUUCAAAACCACUGUCUUCUGCUGCUUUUCCACAGAAACUUUUGUUCUCCUCACCGGUCUUCGGAAUGCUUUCUCAGUGAGUCUCCAUCUUGGUAUUUCUCCUCUUACGUGCUGUGUUUUUCAGUCCACCCAGCCCCGACAUGCUACUCUACACAAAUGGCUCCCCGCUGGUAAUUACUGGAGAAGCUGCAGAAGAUGGUUAUGUAAUCCUGGUUUCAUUAGUCACUCUUUAUUGUGCUGCUGAGAAUCCAAGUCAGAAAUGAAUAGCAUUGUGCUUUCUUUUUUGUUUGUUUUUUUUUCUUAUUUCCUUCAGACAUGUGAAAUGUAAUUUUGUGGUAGUUUUGUUUAGUCGUGAGAAUUUUGCCUUCUUUUCCCUUCUGCAGUGGUUUCCAAGUGUCAUCACAGCCUACGAAGCAAGUAAAGGCCCUUAAGAUACAACAGUUAUAUCACUACUUUUAAUCAGGAAACCUUCCUCCAGUGUUAAAAAGAUAGCAGUUUUAUUUAAAGCAAGUAUUUAUACUCCUAAUGUACUUAGGUGUGUGCACACCCAUACCAGCACAAGACAUUACACCCUUCAACUAUCUUCAAUACAUCACUAAAUUAAAUUCAGGAUGACAUGUGGGUUUAAAGUCAGAAACAGCUUUCAGUAAUUGGGAAUAUAAUAGCUGGCAAAUUUUUCACUUUUAUUUAAAAAAAACAAUUGACUCUUCCUUAGAAGCAAAGGAUAUCUACAAAACUAGGUAUCUAUUCUCACCAGAAUUACUCCCCCU